UCCGUAGGGUGCGAUCGUUAAUCGGAAUUACUGGGCGUAAAGCGUGCGCAGGCGGUUAUGUAAGACAGAGGGGAAAUCCCCGGGCUCAACCUGGGAACUGCCUUUGUGACUGCAUGACUAGAGUACGACAGAGGGGGAUGGAAUUCCGCGUGUAGCAGUGAAAUGCGUAGAUAUGCGGAGGAACACCGAUGGCGAAGGCAAUCCCCUGGGCCUGUACUGACGCUCAUGCGCGAAAGCGUGGGGAGAAAACAGG
rnacentral:rRNA from 1 species